rnacentral:misc_RNA from 1 species
CAGCCAUUGAGGAGUGCAUUGAUGCUUCUGAAGUAACAAUGCAACAUUUAAAGACUGCAAUUACACAAGUCCAGCCAUCACAGGUUCAGUCUUAUGAAGACCUAUCAGCUAAAUUUCAAAGGCUUGUUCACUCUAAUCAUGGACAUGAUGAAUUACAAAUGCAAGAUAGCUCAACUGGAUCAAUCUGGUUUCCCAUCCGGACCCUUAUAAAAUCCGCCAUGCAGUUCUUAUAUCAUUUACUGGCUCCAGGCUCAAAAUCUUCGAGUCAUGCUGCAAGCUAACAGCAUGUCCCUCUACAAGUAGCGGUAGACAACUAAACAUGUCCUUAAUCCCAGUGGAGUUGAAACUUUACCAAUUGCCUGCCAUGAACAUGGUCUUCUCGGGGGUGAGAUCCAGAAUUCAGAUAGCCCGAUCAUGGUGGUAAAUAUCAUCACUACUUAAACAUAGCAUACUUAUGAGCAAAAUAUAGCUGGAACUUAUUUAUGAGACAGGGAUGGUGCAAAUUUUGUAUGGCUUUUUGGGUUUGUCUCGUCAAUUAUUGAGUGUAAGUAACUUCCCUUGGAUAUAUGAAAAGAUUGAUUGAUCCUCAAAAUUCAGAGCCCAGUUUGUCAUGGCCUUUCAAGACAGUUGCUGAUCCCACUUGAGUUCUGGUUUCAGAUUGAAUAGAACAGUUGGGGUAGUAUGGGCCUUUUGAUGAUAUCUGAUGUGCAACUUUUAGUUUUCGCUAUGAUGAUUUCGUAUAUUUAAGGGAAGUUGCUUACA